GAUUCAUUUAUUUUAUAAAUAGGGGCAGGAGAGCUUAGCCAAUCUUUAGUUACUUAAUUAGUUGAAAUUUUGGUGCUGAAGAGACCGGUGAUUUGUAAGGAUAUUUUUGAAUAGGGAAGAAUAAUGUUUAUUGUGACAGUUCUUUGUUGGUUCCAAUAUGUAAUUGCUGGUGGUCAUAAGGAUCCUGUAGGAGGGUAACAAUCACCGCCAGCAUUCUUUGGGAGGAUUUUUUAACUCCCGUCCAGAAUAAAUAAUUUUCUCGAUUUUUACUAUUUCUUUAAGGACAGAUGAGUAUUUUUUUUGCGAACGAAGGACCUGGAACAGAGUGAUAUUUUUUUUCUUUCAUAGUAUUUUAACUAAUUUACAUGAUCAUUUCGCGUUCUCUUAAAUAUAUCUUAAUUAAUAUUGUAAAGUUACAGUUGAAUUUAAAGAUAAGGUGUCAAUUAUGGGGGGCCUAAUGUAACAACCAGAACCCAUAAGUGCAAUUGGAACUCUGAAUAUUAUUAGUGAUGAAUGCUAAAUAUUCUCUCAAUGAUAAAGAUUGGUUAUCUUCCAUGUAUGUAUAUUUAUUAAUUAUAAUAUUAGAAUUUUUUAAGAAGCAUGAAGAAACAUCUUUUUGCCUUAGAGAUCAAAUUAUUUAUUUUUAUUUUCAUAAUUCAUUCAAUUUUGUAAUGUGAUGUGAAAAUUCCAUGGUCAGAUAUUUUUAUUUUGUCAGGACUAUCACAUAUUUUAUAUAUAUAUUUUUUUAAUAUUU